UAAUACCAGCACCCCGAGUGGUCGGGACGAUUAUUGGGCCUAAAGCAUCCGUAGCCGGCCACGCAAGUCCUCCGUUAAAUCCAGCCGCUCAACGGUUGGGCUGCGGAGGAUACUACGUGGCUAGGAGGCGGGAGAGGCAAGCGGUACUCAAUGGGUAGGGGUAAAAUCCUUUGAUCCAUUGAAGACCACCAGUGGCGAAGGCGG
rnacentral:rRNA from 1 species